GAUGAACGCUAGCGGCAGGCUUAAUACAUGCAAGUCGUGGGGCAGCAGGUCCCGUAGCAAUACGGGAUGCUGGCGACCGGCAAACGGGUGCGGAACACGUACACAACCUUCCUUUAAGUGGGGAAUAGCCCGGGGAAACCCGGAUUAAUACCCCGUAANAUUAUGAUGUGGCAUCACAUUAUAAUUAUAGCUCCGGCGCUUAAUGAUGGGUGUGCGGCUGAUUAGGUAGUUGGCGGGGAGCGGCCCACCAAGCCUACGAUCAGUAACUGGUGUGAGAGCACGACCAGUCACACGGGCACUGAGACACGGGCCCGACUCCUACGGGAGGCAGCAGUAAGGAAUAUGGGCAAUGGACGCAAGUCUGACCCAGCCAUGCCGCGUGGAGGA
rnacentral:rRNA from 1 species